GACGAACGCUGGCGGCGUGCUUAACACAUGCAAGUCGAACGGAAAGGCCUGCUUUCCCUUGUGGAUUGCGGGUACUCGAGUGGCGAACGGGUGAGUAACACGUGAGUGAUCUGCCCCCAACUUGGGUAUAAGCCUGGGAAACUGGGUCUAAUUCCCGAUAGGACUGCAGGGUGGUGCCUGUGGUGGAAAACGAUUUUCUAGUGGUUGGGGAUGAGCUCGCGGCCUAUCAGCUUGUUGGUGGGGUAAUGGCCUACCAAGGCGGCGACGGGUAGCCGGCCUGAGAGGGUGGACGGCCACAUUGGGACUGAGAUACGGCCCAGAAUCCUACGGGAGGCAGCAGUGGGGAAUAUUGCACAAUGGGCGGAAGCCUGAUGCAGCGACGCCGCGUGGGGGAUGACGGCCUUCGGGUUGUAAACUCCUUUCGACCGCGAGGAAGCCACCUGGUUGGAAGGGUGGUGACGGUAGUGGUAGAAGAAGCACCGGCUAACUACGUG
rnacentral:rRNA from 1 species